UCCCAUCAAAGAUAUUAAAGAACUUUAAGAAAUAGUAAAAAGAGGGUGGCAAACUCUAAACAUGGGUUAAAGUUGAUACAUUCCCAGAAUUUUCUAUAAAAUUAAGUUCAUGAUUAUGAAAUGACAAGCAUGAGA